UCUCCCUGGAAAUAGGCAAAGAGACUUCUUGUGGGUGGUAGUGUUCAUAUAUCAGUCAGGGGCAGAGAAGAAAGCAGUCCAUUGUUUAUACUAGCUUGAUGCCUGGCUUGAUGGGUAAAGCUAUUUUAUGUCUAAGACUCAUAA